UACGUAGGGUGCGAGCGUUAAUCGGAAUUACUGGGCGUAAAGCGUGCGCAGGCGGUUCGCUAAGACCGAUGUGAAAUCCCCGGGCUUAACCUGGGAACUGCAUUGGUGACUGGCGGGCUAGAGUAUGGCAGAGGGGGGUAGAAUUCCACGUGUAGCAGUGAAAUGCGUAGAUAUGCGGAGGAACACCGAUGGCGAAGGCAAUCCCCUGGACCUGUACUGACGCUCAUGCACGAAAGCGUGGGGAGCAAACAGG
rnacentral:rRNA from 1 species